GAUCCGGUGGCCUAAUUGGUUAGAGCAUCCGCCCCAGAUGCAGAAGGUCGCAGGUUCGAACCCAGGCUGAGUCA